CAUACGAACUCACAGUGGUAAUCAUACACUUUCUGUUUUGCGGCUCCCAAAUGAUCUGGGAUCACUGCCCCAGUAAGUCAUACUGAGCAGCUCUGUAUUGCAGUAGCAGCGGCAGUGAAAACGUUAAAAGUGUCGUGAUGGUCUUGAAAACAAAAUUUAAUAAAAAACGUUGGAGAAAUGACCUAAUAUACACUGUGAAUCCAAUUGAAGACUGGAUGCCGUCAUGGUCCGAAGGCUUCUCGCCUGAAAUCAAACAAAAUAUUCUCUUUCUCCGAACUUAAGGGCCAUUUGAACUAUUUUUGUUGGAUCUUUCUCUCUGAUAAAAAAUAUUUAGUCAAUUUCUUCAAUUUUUAAACGCCGCCUCUUGUUUGCCUUGGGCAUUUUUGUAAUCGAAGUCACAAUGGAACUACGUCGCAGUAGACCUGCAAAUGACGUGCGCCUGGCAAUUGAAAAUUUGGAAGCAGAACACGGAAACUGCGAGUCAGGCGGUUAAAUUAAUCUUGUAGAAAAGAAAAGCAGUUAUUCUUUAUAAUAUAUUAUUAUUAUAUUG